CCGGCCUACGGGGCGCAGUAGUGAGGAAUAUUGGUCAAUAGGCGGAAGCCUGAACCAGCCAAGUCGCGUGAGGGAAUAAGGCCCUACGGGUCGUAAACCUCUUUUGCCGGGGAGCAAGGGCCGGGACGCGUCCCGGCCCGGAGAGUACCCGGAGAAAAAGCAUCGGCUAACUCCGUGCCAGCAGCCGCGGUAAUACGGAGGCUGCGAGCGUUAUCCGGAUUUUUUGGGUUUAAAGGGUGCGUAGGCGGGCUUUUAAGUCAGCGGUAAAAAUUCGGGGCUAAACCCCGUCCGGCCGUUGAAACUGG
rnacentral:rRNA from 1 species